rnacentral:lncRNA from 1 species
AGCCUGGCCUUUAGGGGUCCUCUGGCUUUGAAGGUCGCCUCCUCUUGAAUAACUCACUGAUAAGUUUAUUAAAGGUUUUCAGAGCUGGAUAUGGUGGCGCACGCCUGUAAUCCCAGUAUGUGGGAGGCUAGGUAGGAGAACUGCCAGGAGUUCGAGACCAAUCUGAGCUAUACAGGAUUGAACUCGGGACCUUGCAUUUGCGCAGCAGGCGGCAGAACCACUGAGCUAAAGGCCUGGCCCUAGAUUCAUAUUUUUUCAAGACAAAUUGAAAAAUGAAGAGAAGGGGAGACUUCCCGGAAGAUCACAGAGUGGUGAACAGCAGAGAAACAGCCUCUCCAAGAUUUGGUGUCCAGACCCUGGAAUAUAGCAACAUGAGGAAGACAGGAAGGAGGGAAGUGGGGCCUCAGAACCCAGCAAGAAUCUGAAGUGAGAAUUGAGGCCCACGAGGACAGCCAAGAGAGCGAUUUCAAUGCAGAAGAAGGAGAUGGCAAGUGGCACUUUCUCCUUGAGCCCUGACUCAUUGUGUGGGAAGGGAGGCUCAAACCUGCAGACACAUGGUGACUACUGGUAAGCCCAGAGCCCUCCAUGGAGAAAUGCGCCCCAGAACAGAGCAUUUGACACAGCAGACUGCAGUGGCUGGUGAGUUAUUCGAGUUCAGACAUCCUCAGGAGAGGGUGAUUGGCUGGUCACCAUCUUGGAGAGGAGCCGACUGAGCUGGAACUCAGAGCAGCUGCAGGCGGACUCCAUCAGGGUAGGCUGAACCGAGUUCAAGUCAGCAGGAAGUCAAGGAGCCAAGUUCAAGCUGGCAGAAAUACAGAGUGUUGCAGCUGAACAAAUCGGGUUCCAGCCUCACAGCCAGAAACCAGCCUGAGCUUCAGAACUAAAGGUGCAGGCUUGCUGGGAUUACCCACUACCCCACCGUGGCAUGUUGGAAUUGAUCUGUGCUCUGUGUGCCCACUGACAGCAGAAACACACCUUGAAAAAGAAUGGCUGCCAUCAAAAAAUCAACCAAUAACAAAUGCUGGUGGGGCUGUAAGGAAAAAGGAACCCUCCUCCACUGUUGUUGGGAGUGUAGACUCUGGUGCAGCCACUGUGGAAAUCAGUGUGGAGAUUUCUCAAACUAGAGGUUCUAUUUGACCCAUCUAUUCUCCUUCUUGGUAUGUUCCCAAUAGAAUUAAAAGCAUCAUACCACAGCGAUUUAUGCACACCCAUGUUUAUAGCAGCACAGUUUGUAAUAGCUAAAUCCAGAAACAACCCAAAUCUCCAUCAACUGACAAGUGGAUAAAGAUGUGUUUGUUUUUUACAAUGGAGUACUACUCUGCCAUAAAGAAGGAUAAGCUUGAGACAUUUAUAGCUAAA